rnacentral:sRNA from 1 species
AGGCACAGGAGGGAAUCUCCUGGUCUGCUGGUUGCUAAGACUGUGGGAAAAGUGCAGUAUUUGGGCAGGAGUGUCCUGUUUCUUCAGGUGCAGACUAUGACGGCUUCCCUUGGGUAGGAAAGGGAAAUCACCCAACCUCUUGCGCUUCCCAGGUGAGGUGAUGCCCCGCCCUGCUUCAGCUCACUCUCUAUGGGCUGUACCCACUGUCUACCCAUCCCAGUGAGAUGAACUAGGUACCUCAGUUGGAAAUGCAGAAAUCACCCGUCUUCUACAUCGAUCUCACUGGGAGCUGCAGAGUGGGGCUGUUCCUAUUUGGCCAUCUUGGAAGCAAAAACCCAUAGGGUUUUUGAGCCUUGUGGAUGAAAGUCGUCUUCUGAUUUAUUUGCAACUUGUGGGUGAUUUCCUGGGAGCACAGCCUCUGCACACAAUCUCAUGGCAGGGCUGGUCAGGGGCAGUGAGCCUGGAUGUAGUCAGCUGACCUGUUUGAGGCAGUUCUGAGAAAAAUGAAGUGAGAAUCCUCACUGAAGACCCCUGAUGGGAGUAUACCUUCAGUAUCACCUCCAAUGAGAAGCACUUGGAGAGCCUCAAGAAUGCGGGCAGCCUCCUGCGGGCUCUGGAGCGGCUGGCCCCCGGGAGUGGUUCAUUUGCCGACAGCGUGGUGGCUCCCUUGGCCCUGGAAAUCCUCCAAGCUGUUGGACGCUAGGCAAGAAAGUGCUUAGCACAAGCCCACCCUGUGGCCCCAGCCCUCGGAUGCACAAGCGAGGUCAGCUCCCAGAUACCUUUGCCACAUCCCCUCACAGCUGUAUUUGGACCUAAUAAAGUCAGCUUAACCCAGAACCUGGUGGCCCAAGUGCUCACUAACCCCAGGGCCUAGAAAACUGACUCAGAAUGGACUUCCUUGGUUCCUGUGGAAUGCAUCUGGGAAGCCCAGGUUUGUUAGCUGUUCUCAGAAAUGUUCUUUUCCUCUCUGUGUGGGCCAGGUGGGCUAAGGUUAGCACUGCCUGUGGUAAUAAAGCAGUGGAUGCGAAGCACA